rnacentral:rRNA from 1 species
GACAGAGGGUGCAAACGUUGUUCGGAUUUACUGGGCGUAAAGCGCGUGUAGGCGGCUUGGCAAGUCGGAUGUGAAAGCCCACGGCUCAACCGUGGAAGCGCAUCCGAAACGGCCUCGCUCGAGUCUCGGAGAGGAAGGUGGAAUGCUUGGUGUAGAGGUGAAAUUCGUAGAUAUCAAGCAGAACACCUGCGGCGAAGGCGGCCUUCUGGACAGUGACUGACGCUGAGAUGCGAAAGCGUGGGGAGCAAACAGG